rnacentral:rRNA from 1 species
GUAUGUGUGUUAGUGGAAGCGUCUGGAAAGGCGCGCGAUACAGGGUGACAGCCCCGUACACAAAAAUGCACAUAUUGUGAGCUCGAUGAGUAGGGCGGGACACGUGGUAUCCUGUCUGAAUAUGGGGGGACCAUCCUCCAAGGCUAAAUACUCCUGACUGACCGAUAGUGAACCAGUACCGUGAGGGAAAGGCGAAAAGAACCCCGGCGAGGGGAGUGAAAAAGAACCUGAAACCGUGUACGUACAAGCAGUGGGAGCACGCUUAGGCGUGUGACUGCGUACCUUUUGUAUAAUGGGUCAGCGACUUAUAUUCUGUAGCAAGGUUAACCGAAUAGGGGAGCCGAAGGGAAACCGAGUCUUAACUGGGCGUUAAGUUGCAGGGUAUAGACCCGAAACCCGGUGAUCUAGCCAUGGGCAGGUUGAAGGUUGGGUAACACUAACUGGAGGACCGAACCGACUAAUGUUGAAAAAUUAGCGGAUGACUUGUGGCUGGGGGUGAAAGGCCAAUCAAACCGGGAGAUAGCUGGUUCUCCCCGAAAGCUAUUUAGGUAGCGCCUCGUGAAUUCAUCUCCGGGGGUAGAGCACUGUUUCGGCAAGGGGGUCAUCCCGACUUACCAACCCGAUGCAAACUGCGAAUACCGGAGAAUGUUAUCACGGGAGACACACGGCGGGUGCUAACGUCCGUCGUGAAGAGGGAAACAACCCAGACCGCCAGCUAAGGUCCCAAAGUCAUGGUUAAGUGGGAAACGAUGUGGGAAGGCCCAGACAGCCAGGAUGUUGGCUUAGAAGCAGCCAUCAUUUAAAGAAAGCGUAAUAGCUCACUGGUCGAGUCGGCCUGCGCGGAAGAUGUAACGGGGCUAAACCAUG